GAUUCUAUACAAUAGGCCUUUAUGACAUUUGUCUCUUUCUGGUACAGAAUGUGACACAUGUAGGAAUAUAGUUAGGGAUAAGUCUGGUUUCUAGGGUUAGUUGCAAGAAGGGAGUUUUGAGAUAAGCCCUGGGAAAUGAUUCAGGGUAAGAAAGGAAUUGUGGGAGUCUAAAACUGAAAAUAACUGAACUAAACUUCCAUCUUGGAUUUCAUCUCUCUGCCUACAUUUCCAUCAAGCUGAAGAUGGGGGUUUGCUCUAAAACAUUCUUCCUGGAUAGCCAAGAUUUUGUGGAGAAAUCUUUGACAUCUAGGUAGAGGAUUAUUUGGAGGAAACCAAUUUUCCCUGAGUCUAAAUAUCAUCUUCUAGUGGUUCAGCUGCCAGAAUUCCUCUUGGCUAAGCUCUUAUAAUACAGAUUGUAAUCCAUCCAAGUCUUCUCAUCCUAUGCAACUAUUAUCCGGGAACUCUCCUAACUUCACCAUAAGAAGACUACUCAUUCUCUUGACAUUCUGAAGAUACAGGUUUUAUGGUCUCUGUCAAUGACAUGCUAGCAAGGUUACCUCUGAUAAUUCUUCCAGCUUUUGGAAGCUCAUAAGGGAAACACCGCUUUUCAAGAACCACAACAAAAACAACAACAGCCAGAAAAAAGGGAAAAAAAACCCCACUUUCAGAGAGUGCUAAAAUAUCAUUUCGGUCUUCGCAUGGAAGCAUGGCAAAAGGCAUAUUAAUGAAGUCAGGCAGACAGCUUAUACCAUUUGAUUUGUCCAUUUAGACCAAAAGGAUUUAGCACCUAGAUCUAAUGCUAGUAAAAUGGGUACGGGGGAAACCAAGGUAAACAUUUUGUGACCUGUGAAGCUUGAAAACGGAUGUAGUUGGUGCCAUUCAUUCAAUUCAGCAAGCAAGUACCAACUACCUACUAUGUGUCAGGUCAUGCACCGGUGCUAAAACAAAGAUGCAAUAUCUUGAGGAGAUUACAUUUACUUUAUUGCCUUAUAAAUACUUGGAAGGAAG
rnacentral:lncRNA from 1 species